rnacentral:rRNA from 1 species
UGGGGAAUUUUGGACAAUGGGCGAAAGCCUGAUCCAGCAAUGCCGCGUGUGUGAAGAAGGCCUUCGGGUUGUAAAGCACUUUUGUCCGGAAAGAAAUCCUUGGCUCUAAUACAGUCGGGGGAUGACGGUACCGGAAGAAUAAGCACCGGCUAACUACGUGCCAGCAGCCGCGGUAAUACGUAGGGUGCAAGCGUUAAUCGGAAUUACUGGGCGUAAAGCGUGCGCAGGCGGUUGCUAAGACCCGAUGUGAAAUCCCCGGGCUCAACCUGGGAACUGCAUGGUGACUGGCAGGCUAGAGUAUGGCAGAGGGGGGUAGAAUUCCACGUGUAGCAGUGAAAUGCGUAGAGAUGUGGAGGAAUACCGAUGGCGAAGGCAGCCCCCUGGGCCAAUACUGACGCUCAUGCACGAAAGCGUGGGGAGCAAAACAGGAUUAGAUACCCCUGGGUAGUCCACGCCCUAAAACGAUGUCAACUAGUUGUUGGGGAUUCAUUUCCUUAGUAACGUAGCU